rnacentral:rRNA from 1 species
UACGUAGGUGGCAAGCGUUGUCCGGAAUUAUUGGGCGUAAAGCGCGCGCAGGCGGUCCUUUAAGUCUGAUGUGAAAGCCCACGGCUCAACCGUGGAGGGUCAUUGGAAACUGGGGGACUUGAGUACAGAAGAGGAAAGCGGAAUUCCACGUGUAGCGGUGAAAUGCGUAGAGAUGUGGAGGAACACCAGUGGCGAAGGCGGCUUUCUGGUCUGUAACUGACGCUGAGGCGCGAAGGCGUGGGGAGCGAACGGG